rnacentral:rRNA from 1 species
CCUACGGGUGGCAGCAGUGAGGAAUAUUGGUCAAUGGGCGAGAGCCUGAACCAGCCAAGUCGCGUGAGGGAAGACGGUCCUAUGGAUUGUAAACCUCUUUUGUCGGGGAGCAAAAAACGCCACGCGUAGCGUUCCGAGAGUACCCGAAGAAAAAGCAUCGGCUAACUCCGUGCCAGCAGCCGCGGUAAUACGGAGGAUGCGAGCGUUAUCCGGUUUUAUUGGGUUUAAAGGGGGCGCAGGCGGCGAGUUAAGUCAGCGGUAAAAUUGAGAGGCUCAACCGCGACGAGCCGUUGAAACUGGUUUGCUUGAGUGAGUGAGAAGUAUGCGGAAUGCGUGGUGUAGCGGUGAAAUGCAUAGAUAUCACGCAGAACUCCGAUUGCGAAGGCAGCAUACCGGCGCUCAACUGACGCUCAUGCACGAAAGUGUGGGUAUCGAACAGGAUUAGAUACCCGAGUAGUC